rnacentral:rRNA from 1 species
UACGAAGGGGGCUAGCGUUGCUCGGAAUCACUGGGCUUAAAGCGUGUGUAGGCGGAUCGUUAAGUGUCUUGUGAAAUCCCACGGCUCACCCGUGGAACUGCUGGGCAUACUGGCGAUCUUGGGCCAACUAGGGGCAGUCGGAACAAGCGGUGGAGCGGUGAAAUGCGUAGAUAUCGCUUGGAACGCCGAAGGUGAAAACAGACUGCUGGGGUUGCGCCGACGCUGAGACACGAAAGCCAGGGGAGCAAACGGG